UACGAAGGGGGCGAGCGUUGUUCGGAUUUACUGGGCGUAAAGGGCGCGCAGGCGGUUCUGUUUGUCGAGUGUGAAAGCCCCGGGCUCAACCUGGGAACUGCGCUCGAAACGGCGGAACUAGAGUUCGGGAGAGGAGAGUGGAAUUCCCAGUGUAGAGGUGAAAUUCGUAGAUAUUGGGAAGAACACCGGUGGCGAAGGCGGCUCUCUGGACCGUUACUGACGCUGAGGAGCGAAAGCGUGGGGAGCGAACAGG
rnacentral:rRNA from 1 species